UAGUGGCGAACGGGUGAGUAACACGUGGGCAAUCUGCCCUGCACUCUGGGACAAGCCCUGGAAACGGGGUCUAAUACCGGAUAACACCCGCCGAGGCAUCUCGGUGGGUUGAAAGCUCCGGCGGUGCAGGAUGAGCCCGCGGCCUAUCAGCUUGUUGGUGGGGUGAUGGCCUACCAAGGCGACGACGGGUAGCCGGCCUGAGAGGGCGACCGGCCACACUGGGACUGAGACACGGCCCAGACUCCUACGGGAGGCAGCAGUGGGGAAUAUUGCACAAUGGGCGAAAGCCUGAUGCAGCGACGCCGCGUGAGGGAUGACGGCCUUCGGGUUGUAAACCUCUUUCAGCAGGGAAGAAGCGAAAGUGACGGUACCUGCAGAAGAAGCGCCGGCUAACUACGUGCCAGCAGCCGCGGUAAUACGUAGGGCGCAAGCGUUGUCCGGAAUUAUUGGGCGUAAAGAGCUCGUAGGCGGCUUGUCGCGUCGGAUGUGAAAGCUCGGGGCUUAACCCCGGGUCUGCAUUCGAUACGGGCAGGCUAGAGUGUGGUAGGGGAGAUCGGAAUUCCUGGUGUAGCGGUGAAAUGCGCAGAUAUCAGGAGGAACACCGGUGGCGAAGGCGGAUCUCUGGGCCAUUACUGACGCUGAGGAGCGAAAGCGUGGGG
rnacentral:rRNA from 1 species